CUGUUGGACUCUAAGUCCAGGUCGUCAUGGAGGUCGACGUUCCUGACGAACCACGGAAAUAUCCAACAA